CACCACUCAGUGCUUGUUUCCUGAGCCCAAAAGCAGUGUUCCACUGUGCUGACCAUGCCAGCUACGCACUCCAGACUCAAAGAGCUGCCCACCAUGUUUGGCAGAGACCCCACCACCACCAACCUGGACGCCACUGUGGAUAUCUCCGAGGACUCGGACGCGAACAAAGAGGAGGAGGAGGAGGGUGGGGGACGUGCGACUGGGAGGUUCAGCUGUGCCACGAGCCAGGACCUGUUUGAGACUCCACUGCAGUCCUGGCAAUCAAGCACGGAAAAGUCCGAUGCAAGGGAAGGAAUGUUGGGCAGCUGCUGCCAUUGCAAUGUUGAGGGGGUUCCCCCUCCAUACCUAUGGAAUGCCUGAGCCAGAUAAGGUGAAAGAAGAGGACUCGAGAUGCCAUGUUUAACGAGAUCCUGAAAGCCAGGGCUGCAUCACACUGGGAGCAGAGGGCCUGGAGGAUGAAUAUUGCAGACAGCCUGGAGAAGGAAGGAGUGGACAGGAGAGAGGCCCAGGAGUCCCAAAAGGAGAGGCAGAUGCACCAGGACAUAAUGGGGCUUGAGGUUCAACAAUCAUGAGCUCGCUUCCCUUUUCAGUCCAUGGAGAAGUGCAUUUCCACACCUUCAAUGUUCCAUGUGGCAUCAGGGACUGCAUCCCUCCUACUGUUAAAGACAACCACAGCUUCAUAUACACUGGCCUGGGAGAGCCAUGACUAAUGUACAUGUAGCUUAAAUGGAUAUGAAUGUUACUUCCUCUUCUUUAAGCGCUGUUCCAUAGAUUUAUUAAGGUCUUAAUAUAUUUGCUUUUAACUUGCACAGAAUUUGUUUUGAAGUGUUUUUGUUACUCAAUAAAACUCUUUUGUUUGGAAAAUAAUUUUGUUUUUAUUAGUGUCCAACAAAUGCUGCAGAAUGGCAGGCGGUAAUGACAGCUCCCACUUACUUGUUGGACACUGUGACACAACUCGUAGGAUCAGUGAUAAACACAGUGUAAUAAUCAGAAAUGUACACCAACCACCACAAAAUUAACAGAUGUAUUGCCACUGUUACAUUCCUAGAUGUGCACCAAGCACGGCACAAUUCCUAACAGGUGCCCCAAACUGCAGGGCUGGGUAGAGUACAGGAUACCAUAAGACAUUACUGUGGCUUGCUGUGUAAGUGCUCUUUAAAAGCCUCACUGAGCUGCAUAGCUCUGCUUUGAGUUCUUCUGAUGAUCCUUGUGUCUGUCUGCCCAAACUCAGCAGCAAGCUGCUCCACCUUCCCCGUGGCUGCAGCUUUUCUUCCUUUGCUUCACAGAUAUUCUGCAGGACACAGCAGGCAGCUCUAACCAUUGGGAUGUUUUUCUCACUGAGAUAAAAUGUUGUGAGUAACAAAGCCAGCACACCUUCAAUCUGGCAAAAGCACAUUUGACUGUCAUUCUGCACAUGCUGAGACAGUAGUUAAACCUUUCCUUAGUGCUGUCGGGAUGGCCAGUGUACAGCUUCAUGAGCCAGGGGAGUGAGAGGUAGGCUGGAUUGUCCACGAUCACUAUUGACAUUUCAACAUUGCCAAUGGUAAUCAUCUGGUCGAGAAAGGAAGUCCCUGCUUGUGGCUUUCUGAACAGUCCUGUAUUCUUAAAGAUGUGAAUGUCAUGCACCUUCCCUGACCAGCCGUCGCUGAUGUUGGUGAAGCAUCCCUAGUGAUCCACCAGUGUUUCCAUAACCAUAGAAAAAUAGCCUUUUCUGUUGAUGUAGUUUGUGGCAAGGUGAUCUGGUGACAAAUAGGGCUAUGCGUGCAGUCUAUCGCUCCACCGCAGUUCAGGAGCCCCAUGGCUGCAAAUCCAUCCAUUAUGUCCUGCACAUUGCUGAGAGUCACAGUUCUGCAUAGCAGGAGACGAUUAAUGGCCCUGCACACUUGCAUGACAAUAGCCCUCACGGUGGCUUUUCCACCUUCAAAAAAUGAUUACCCACUGACCAGUAGCAAUCCCCAGCAUCACAAGUUCUCAUAGUGAAAUUGCCACUCACUUCUGCACUGUCAGUGCAGUUCUCAUUUUGAUGUCCUUGUGCUGGAGGGCUGGGGUAAGCUCAGCAGAUAGAUCCCAGAAUGUGGCCUUGUGCCACUGUUCAUCAUCCCAAAUCUGGAUUACAAUGAGAUCCCACCAGUCAGUGCUUGUUUCUCAGGCCCAGAAGCAGCAUUCCACCAUUUUGCAGCUGCUCCACAAAUGUCACCAAGAUCCUUGAACUGAUUUUUGCUAUGUCCCAUAGCAGUCUGCCCUCCAGGAAAUCAUAUUUCCUGUGGCUCUGUAGAUACCAGAGGAUCGUGCAUCCUAUGCGUGCAAUGUUCAUAAUACUAGUACAGAGCUGUGCAGGCUCCAUGCUUCUGUCAGAGAUGGCAGACUGUGGUGAAUCCCAUGCAGGUUCAUGGGAUUUUCAAAAUAGGCAUGAAAAUUAUGGCAUAGAGAUGGCAUUAUGGGGUGGCAAAAAUUGCAUGAUAGGGACUUGACCCCACUGUCCCAGUCAUCCCUACACAACUCGGUUCUGCCCCACCACGCACUGCCAAAACUUCCCAAAAGACAAUAGGCUGAACGGUGGCAAGUUGCACACUGGGAUACCUACCCAAGGUGCACUGCACUGUGCAUCAAAGCAAGCAGUCCUGGUGAGUACGUACAGAGCCGACAAAAGCAAACUAUGCACAUGCUCAGCAAUACACUAACUGCUGCGGCUUUAUGUCAACAUAACUUGCGUCAGCAGAAGUUUGAAACAUAG